rnacentral:misc_RNA from 1 species
CUACGGAGUACAUACAUAAUUCGUUGAAGAAUUAUUUACCUGAAUAAGACUAUUUUUAAAUACCGUUAUGUACAUUGUCAAUAGUCCAAUGAUAUAUCUAGUUUUGAGAGAGCUUACUCUCAUAUGUUCUUUGAAAACUGAAUAGUAAAGAUAUUAAUUAAUAUAACAACGACAUCAAAAAAACAUUUUUUAGUCAAUUUGUUUUGUGAUACCGAGUUGAGAAUUAUUAGCAAUAAUAAUUUAUUAAAAUGUCUUUGAAUACAUCAACAAUAGGAAAAUACAUAA